GGGUGACUAGUGGCAGAGUGAGGGAGGGAAGGGGUGACUAGUGACAGAGUGAGGGGAUGACUGGUGACAGAGUGAGGGAGGGGUGACUGUCACUAGUCACCCCAUCCCUCUCUCUGUCACUAGUUACUCCCUCCCUAACUCUGUCACUGUGUCACCCGCUCCCUCACUCUGUCACUAGUCACCCCCUUACUCUGUCACUGUGUUACCCCCUCCCUCUGUCACUAGUCACCCC